rnacentral:rRNA from 1 species
GUGGGGAAUAUUGGACAAUGGGGGCAACCCUGAUCCAGCAAUACCGCGUGUGUGAAGAAGGCCUUCGGGUUGUAAAGCACUUUAGGCGGGGAAGAAGGUUGCUAUUUUAAGAGAUAAGUAACUUGACGGUACCCGCAGAAUAAGCACCGGCUAACUCUGUGCCAGCAGCCGCGGUAAUACAGAGGGUGCAAGCGUUAAUCGGAUUUACUGGGCGUAAAGGGCGCGUAGGUGGUUGUUUAAGUGAGAUGUGAAAUCCCCGGGCUCAACCUGGGACGUGCAUCUUAUACUGGGCAACUGGAGUGCAAUAGAGGGUAGUGGAAUUUCCGGUGUAGCGGUGAAAUGCGUAGAUAUCGGAAGGAACACCAGUGGCGAAGGCGGCUACCUGGAUUGACACUGACACUGAGGCGCGAGAGCGUGGGGAGCAAACAGG